UACGAAGGGGGCUAGCGUUGUUCGGAAUUACUGGGCGUAAAGGGCGCGUAGGCUGUGCUGUAAGUCAGGCGUGAAAUCCCCGGGCUCAACCUGGGAAUUGCGCAUGAUACUGCGGCGCUUGAAGACGGGAGAGGAUGGCGGAAUUCCCAGUGUAGAGGUGAAAUUCGUAGAUAUCGGGAGGAACACCUGAGGCGAAGGCGGGCUACUGGGCCGAUACUGACGCUGAUGCGCGAAAGCCAGGGGAGCGAACGGG
rnacentral:rRNA from 1 species